rnacentral:rRNA from 1 species
UACGGGGGGGGCAAGCGUUGUUCGGAAUUACUGGGCGUAAAGGGCUCGUAGGCGGCCAACUAAGUCAGACGUGAAAUCCCUCGGCUUAACCGGGGAACUGCAUCUGAUACUGGAUGGCUUGAGUUCGGGAGAGGGAUGCGGAAUUCCAGGUGUAGCGGUGAAAUGCGUAGAUAUCUGGAGGAAUACCGGUGGCGAAGGCGGCAUCCUGGACCGACACUGACGCUGAGGAGCGAAAGCUAGGGGAGCAAACGGG